GGGUUAAGAUGGCGGAAUAGAAGGACUGGAGCUCACCUUCUCUCCUAGAAACAACAAAAUUACAGCCAAAUGCUGAGCAAUCGUCAACCAAAUGGACCAGAAGCUUUCAAAAAGAUAUCCUACUCCAGAAGACAAAGAGGAGGCCACAUCAAGAGCUGUUGGAAGCAACCCUGUUGAUAUGGCCAGAGACAGUUGUUCAGCAUCUUAACAGCAAGACUGAAAGGGCUGAAGAAAUGGAAGUCACGGUUAGUGAGAAACUGACCUCAUUCUGCAGGAAUCCCUUCUGGAAAGGGGAAUUGCAGAGUGUUGUGACAGGCGGAAGAGCUACUCAUUGACAACCUACCAGGUUCACUGCCUCUGAUGGAUGAUCACAUUCAGCCUCACAACAGCACUGAGAAUGGGAUAUUAUCAUCACGUUGAAUGUAAGAACAAUGAAACUUAGGGAGUUCAAGCAACUCGCCCCAAGUCACCUGGGGGUUACCUUGCAUGGGUAUAAGGUGCACGAUUGCUGGGGCCGUCCAGCUGUAUGCCUGGAAAUGAAAGGGACACACGGAGAGAGGAGCCUGAUCCAGAACUGCAGCAGGAAAUCCAAACUGGAGCCUGUCUCAUCUCUUGAACCUCAGUUAUUUGAAUUGGCACUCUUGCCACUUGUGCCCAGAUCCUCACAGCAGUCCUUACAUACCGUUAGCCCCGUUUUGCAUGUGAGCAAAUCGAGACGGGAGAGAGCUCCAAGAUCACACCGAGGGUAAGUGGCACGGUGGAAUUAAAGUUCCUCUCUGUUUCUCUGUCUGAUUCCCAGGUUGAUAGUUUUGUCACUGUUUUCACCGGAACACAUUAGGUUGAGUGCUCUGUUGUAGAACUUGCCCUUUAAGCUGAAGAUACUUCUUUUUAUGGGUCGUCUACUGUUCCUCUUUGCCUCCUUGGCCUUUCCCUGCUUGUAGGUCAACAAUUUUUAAAAACAGAUUUGGCUUCCUUUGCAAUUUCACUCCCAUUUUCACAGGUGAACAGCACCUACCUGAAGUCAGUCGUUGAUAACUCGUUUGAUUUAGAAUAGCUGCUAGUUUGUAAAUAAGGAAACCAGAACCCUAGCCGUAUUCUUUUCAAAUCAGUCCUUCUGUUUUAGAAAGUUGACGGUGCUGAAUUAGUGGCAUUUUGUCUUUAUUGUUCAAAUGGAAACUUGAAAGAGAAGUUCCAUCGUGGCGCAGUGGAAGUGAAUCUGACCAAUAUCCAUGAGGACGCAGGUUCGGUCUCUGGCCUUGCUCGGUGGGUUAAGGAUCCGGCGUUGCUGUGAGCUGUGGGAUAGGUCGCAGACGGGGCUGGGAUCCUGUGUUGCUGUGGCUGUGGUGUAGGCCUGUGGCUACAGCUCUGAUGUGACCCUUAGCCUGGGAACCUCCACAUGCCAAGGGUGUGACCCUAAAAAAAUAAAAAAUAAAACCUUGAAAAGGUAGGUAAAGAGAUGGUGCAGGUCCUGUGUUUCUCUAACUUAUUAAAUGUCCUCACUAGACUGACGUUCCCAUGAAGUAUUUCUGACUGCGAAUCCCCAAAUGUCAGGACCUUAUGAAUCAACACCACAGCUCAGCAUCCUUCUGCCUUGUCUCUCAUGACGUUUUUCCUGAGGAAUGGGAUCUUUCCAUCUUUCACCCUUUUGUGAAGGGUGUCUGUUUAUAAACUGGAAGGAGCACAUGGGAGAGUCUUUUGAAACUUUUUGGUUCUUGCCUAAAAUAACUAAUACAGAGUGUCUGGGGGAGUUAUUCUACAGAGACUUUUUUUUUUUUUUUUAAGGAAAAGUAUGGUGAAGCCCAGAAUUGCUUGUAGUUUAGGAUACUGACCUUUAAGAGGUAAAUCUCAUCAUUCCUUCUUCUGUGGAUUAGCAUUUCACACUUGGUGGAUUAAGAACAAAUAAGAAUUAAUAGCUCUACAUAUCAUGAGGUUUCAGAUAAGAAGAGCAGAUGUGAUAUGAUAUAGGAUAUAGGAUAUGAUAGAGUAGAAAGAACGUGGACUGAGCAUUAUAUGUAACUCCAUUCAACGCCUGGUUCUCUCACUCAGGAUGUACACAAAAUCGUUACGUCUUUUGUUGACACAUAAAAAUAGACUAAGAAGGGAGUUCCUGUUGUGGCACAGUGGUUAACGAAUCCGACUAGGAACCACGAGGUUGGGGGUUCGGUCCCUGCCCUUGCUCAGUGGGUUAACAAUCCGGCGUUGCCGUGAGCUGUGGUGUAGGUUGCAGACGAGGCUCGGAUCCCGCAUUGCUGUGGCUCUGGCGUAGGCCGGUGGCUACAGCUCCGAUUCGACCCCUAGCCUGGGAACCUCCAUAUGCCGCGGGAGCGGC
rnacentral:lncRNA from 1 species